AUCACUCCUGAUUCUACCAAGUGGUCAACACAGAAGCUAUAGCCAACUUCAAAACCAGCUCACGCUCCCAACUACGAGCCACUUGCACGACUGGCUCUAUGUGGUCACGGCAUGGCCAGCAAAGACUGCCGUGGUGAAUUUACCCUUCCUGGCACGUGAGGAGAGGGCUCACGUUGUGAGGUGACAUUUGCAUGCAUUCCUGUCAUCUGUGCCAGUUACUAGCCAUUUAAGCUCAUUAUCUCUCUGAAGUUCGGUGCCCUCAACUCAAAAACGAGGGUCCCAGCAUCGAGGACUGAAAGUGAAAUCUGCACCAAGUGUUCAACAGAGUCCCCGUCACAUGUCACAUGGAGAGGGCUCAGUAAGUGUGAGCCGCCGACAGAACCACAGCCACGAAGUGGGAACCUGAUCGGCCCCACCCGGACCUCGGAAACGGCGCAAUUUCCUUCUUCAGACGCACUGUGUUUGGUGCCAUUAAGAUACAACACGAUGCCCCAGCGUGCCGAGCCUCAGGAGGUCUGCUCCGCCCUGGUGACUCCACCACCGCACGAAUCACACGGCUAUGCAAACGGCCUUGGAAAGAGAUCAGAUCUUCCCAUUCUGACACGUACACACAACCUGUAAACCUUGUAUUCUGAGUCGGCCCGAACAUAAGGGUUGCAGCAACCCCAGGACUGGAUCUACAUUAGACGUGCGGAGGACGAAGCUGGCAUCCAGAACCUGAAGCAACCUCUUCCCUUUGUCGUCUUGCUUCUGUUGUUCAGGGGUCUCCCCCAGAAUCUAGAACUUCACGCACCCAGACGCUUCAAAGAAGAACCACGCUUUUGGGCCACAGCACAGCUUCCAGAGCCUCAGAGGAUUUUCCUUGCACGGGACCCGCCCGCUCGCCAUGAUUUCAGCGUUGCCACAAGAUCCAAAGUAGAAACAGAGCAAAGCCAACUACCACUGGCUAGAAAGGGGUGUUACCACAUCUGGGGAUCAUUCCCUAUGAGACGAAGAGACGUGCUACCAUACAACAGAGGGAAACCGGUGGCGAAGGGAGCCCGCUCCGAGUCCAGACGGAAGUGAAGAGGACGGCUUCGUGGGGAAGGCGGUAUUUCCACCGUCUCUGCAGGAGGGGCUGGCUGGCGCACUGACAGGUGCUCUGCAAACGCUUGCUGAGCUUUUACUGUGUGGUUCGUAACAAAGACGGACAUAAAUCCUGCUCCUUGCCUUUAUGCCUUCCACCCCACGAUCGCACACCCCCCAAAAUGAAUUCUACAUUUACGAUCCUAUCAGAGGCCACCAAUGGUUCACGUCCCAAGGUCAACAAUAGAAGGAGGAAGAGGCAGUAAAACUUAACGGGGCCCCAAUUUACUCACUUUCUGGGUGGUCACAGGUAUGUUGCUUAAACUGGAUAUCAGUUUUUAAUGGGCAUCCUAAGCCCUCAAAAUCUGGGGUUCGAAUUCAUGUCAGAACCUAAACACGACCACAGAGGAAUUUACGGUGGUAUCCGAAAACACUCUCCCCAACCAGAAAAUUCUAUGUACAUUUUCAACUCCUCCUCGUACAGGGUACGUGUCAUAAGAACUGCAUACUUUUUUUCCCCUUUUGUAAAUGAUUCUCAAAUGCAUAAGCAAUAAAACAUUUUUAAAACACAAUUUAAAGAGUACACUUGGCAGACUAGACUGUCUUAAAAAAGCCUAUUUACUUUCUCCCCUAAACGUUCAAAUUGUUAAAAGGAAAACUGUAUUUUAUCAACACUUUAACAUACCAUUAAAAUCUCUCCUAUUUGACAGAUGAAGAUAAAAACACCCCAAAACUACGGAUGAAUUAUCAGGUCCCUAAUGAUUCCAAAACAAUUACAGGAUGCAGAGCAAUCUAGUUAAAUUUUAUUCAAAAGCUUACUACACUUGUGUUUUCUUUUAUUUUUCUAUCAAGAAACCCAUGAGGCUUAAGCACAAUUCAUUAUGUAUGAGACCCCACUUGCGGUGCUUGACUGUUGAUUAAUAGCAAAGUUUGCUGUAUGUACAUUUGCAACAUUAGAUGCAUACAAUAUGCUAACUUAUUCUUUCACUGAAACUAAUUAUUUACAAAAAUGACUACUUGAGACUACAAUUUAUUAAAUGCAUGCAUCCAGUCUCAAUUUGGCCCCAAAAGACAGCCUGGAAUGAAGAUCUUUUACUUGAUGUGACAACUUCUGGAAACGCUGUUAUUAAUAUUGUAAAUGUGGCAAAUAAAGAGU